AAUUUUCAUUUUUAUCCUUGCUCUAGUGGGAGUCUUUUAUCCAUAUAAUCGAGGAGUCUUGUUCACUGCUCUGGUUGUCAUUUAUGCCCUUACAUCUGGAAUUGCUGGCUACACUGCUGCUUCUUUCUAUUGUCAGCUUGAAGGAACAAAUUAGGUGAGAAACUUAUUACUAACGGGAAGCUUGUUCUGUGGGCCUCUUUUUGUGACAUUUUGCUUUCUCAACACUGUCGCAAUUGCUUAUCAAGCCACUGCAGCAUUGCUAUUUGGAACCAUUGUGGUGAUUUUUCUGAUAUGGGCUCUGGUCACGUCUCCUUUAUUAGUAUUAGGAGGUAUUGCUGGAAAGAAUAGUAAGGCGGAGUUUCAAGCACCUUGUCGCACCACAAAAUAUCCCAGAGAGAUCCCGCCAUUGCCUUGGUAUAGGCAAACUCUUCCUCAGAUAUUGUUUUCUCUAAAACUGUCUCAUUUUUUAGGUCGCAUUGAAUGAAAUCAAAAGCAGUCCCUUGAUAUUGUUUGUGAAAGACAUAGAGAAGUCUAUAGCUGGAAAUACUGAUAUAUAUACUGCCUUGAAGAGUAAGCUUGAGAAUUUGCCAACAAACAUUGUAGUAAUUGGUUCUCAUACACAGAUGGAUAACCACAAGGAAAAAUCCUACCCUGGCAGUCUUCUGUUCACAAAGUUUAGCUUCAUAUUCUGAUCACGAAAAUGUUGUUCCUCUUUCACUACAGUGGUGAGGGCCAUGUGAGUUGUUUGAACUGAAAUAGUGUUAUCGACGGUCUUCGACAGAGAUAAGCUUAUUGGUUCUAUCAGUGUGCACAAGAACAUCGGGAUUUUG